rnacentral:rRNA from 1 species
UGCUCUGGAUUAGCGGCGGACGGGUGAGUAAUGCCUAGGAAUCUGCCUGGUAGUGGGGGACAACGUUUCGAAAGGAACGCUAAUACCGCAUACGUCCUACGGGAGAAAGCAGGGGACCUUCGGGCCUUGCGCUAUCAGAUGAGCCUAGGUCGGAUUAGCUAGUUGGUGAGGUAAUGGCUCACCAAGGCGACGAUCCGUAACUGGUCUGAGAGGAUGAUCAGUCACACUGGAACUGAGACACGGUCCAGACUCCUACGGGAGGCAGCAGUGGGGAAUAUUGGACAAUGGGCGAAAGCCUGAUCCAGCCAUGCCGCGUGUGUGAAGAAGGUCUUCGGAUUGUAAAGCACUUUAAGUUGGGAGGAAGGGUUGUAGAUUAAUACUCUGCAAUUUUGACGUUACCGACAGAAUAAGCACCGGCUAACUCUGUGCCAGCAGCCGCGGUAAUACAGAGGGUGCAAGCGUUAAUCGGAAUUACUGGGCGUAAAGCGCGCGUAGGUGGUUCGUUAAGUUGGAUGUGAAAUCCCCGGGCUCAACCUGGGAACUGCAUCCAAAACUGGCGAGCUAGAGUAUGGUAGAGGG